UCCCUUAAUAACCAGGGGCAAAAAUGAAAUCUAAAAAAUUAAAAACCUCGCCUUCCUUUUUUCUCCUUUCCCUCUUGCCCUAAUUAUCGACGCUCAAAUGAAAACGAACGACUAGACGCAAAGUUGAAAUUGGUCGGAGAAUACGGUCUACGAUGCAAGCGAGAGCUCUGGAGGAUGCAAUAUGCACUCAGCAAAAUCCAUAAUGUUGCGAGAAUGCUUCUAACUCUUGAGGAGAAAGAUCCACGAAGAAUCUACAAAGGCGAAGCUCUCAUGAGGAGGAUAAACAAGUACGGUUUGCUGGAUGAACGUUCUUCCCCUCACUGUUGAAAACUUUAUUGAACGUCGUCUUCAAACCCUCAUCUUCAUUGAACAGACUAUUUAUCUUAUCAAAAAAUCAUAGGGACCAUUAUCUAGGGAUUUUUUCAAGGAGUGCUCUCUGCAACACACUCUACCUCAGCUCUCCUCACCUGCAAGCAACCUAAACUCACCUCUUUCGACACACCUCAACAACACCACUACAACUCAUUCUCAGCCGUCGACUUACUCUGCUGACCGAUGUUCUUGGUAUCGCCAACUUCCUGCCUUCUGAGGCUCACCUCACCUCACCGGAGACUGCGAUGAAUGCUCAGGUUUACAAUCCCUAGGUCCGAAUAAGGUAUGUUUUGUUUCAAAUUUUGUGAGUUAUCAUAGAUGAAGGAUCAAUUUUUUUUCGUUUCGAAUUCCGUUCAUUUGUCGUCAGAUCUACUUCUUUAUAGCGAAACAAGUACUGCAUCAAUUUUCUCUAAUGUAAGCGAUUCAAGAUCUUCCCCCGGGCCACCAUUUUGAGGGUUACAACGCAUCAUUAUUUAUAUAAAAAAACAUCUUGAUUUGAAUUCAACUCGUUUGAAGAGACACAUUUUCUCUCUUGUCAAAAAAUGGAACUACCUUUGCUUUGAUAUCAAAUCUGGUGCUUUCCACCUCAUUAAAGUACCAUGUAUUGCAUCUGAGUAUAAAUAUUCUAGCUUUCGUUUCCCACAACUUCUUGUUUCCAACUAUGUUGUGACAAUAUGUAUUCAACUCUUUGUAUUGGUGCAAACUGGAAUAUAAUCGUGGGCAAAGAAAACUAAAAUUUUCCAUUAUCACGAAUCCCCUUUCACUUUCCUUUCUAAUCCAUCCUCAUCCCCAUGGUAAAAUCGAUUCCAUGUUUUUUAUAAUUUAGAUUGUUUCAGGUUCUUUAUUAGGUUGGCGAAUCAGGUUCAAUUUUGGGGUUAAUCGGUAUCUAAAAACUCUUUUCCUGAUGUGAAAUUGGGUUCAUGGUUUUUCCAUUCGUUUGUGUGUUAUUUGUUGUAGACAGAAGUCCCAGCUGUUGAGUUGUCGAUUACCUCUUCCAAGCUGCCAACAACCUCCUCCUAAUGAAAAAUUCUAUGUUUACCCACCCACUUGAUGUUAGAUUGAAAAGAAAGUUUCAGCUGCACACCAACUGCUUGAUGAAAUGCUUGAACCAUAUUUCUGAAGUUUCAUUUUGGUUGCUUUACUAUUUAACAACAGGUUGUUGUUUGAUUUCAAGGGCUGUCCAUCAAAUCAUGCAAGUCGCUUAAAUUCAAGAUUGAAAGCUCUUAAACACAACUUUGGUAGCUAUCAUCUCCUGUGAUCCAGAUAUAAUGAAGGAUUAGGCUAACAUCUUAGGUCAUAAAUGUACACUCAGCAAUAAACCCAAUUUAAAUGAAGAAUCCUGUGUUUCUAAUCAAACGGAAAUUGGAUUCAAGAACCUGAAUGAAUAGAACUCAAGUAACAAAAAAGAUGCAUCUUCAAAAGGCAAAGCUAAUGCAUUUUCACUACUUGGAAAAUGUUUUAAUUAGGUAAAUUAGUUUUCAUUAUUUUUAAGUACAUUUCUUUCUGGGUCUUUUUUUCAUUAACAUCUUCUUUAUUUUCAGUUUUUUUAUUUGAAUUAUCUUGAGAUUCUACCACUUAUAAAAAAAAUUUCUUAAACUUCUUAAACAUUACUGGCAUUGCCUAUAUUUUCACUACUUGUAUGUUGCUGUAAAAUGCAAGUCGUUAAGGGUGUAAAGCUUUUGAGUACACAUAGUAUUUUGAAUAAUCAUGAGUGUCAUUACCUUGAAGUUAAUGAAAAUAAUUCACCUUUUGAAAGAACCUUCUUCUAUUUGUCAAGUUUCGGGUCAUGGCAGGAAUCCGGGAGACAGAAAGAGUAUCAACAAACAAAAGAACAAACACCUACCAUUGUUUCAUUCUGAGAGAUGGAAGUGCAUCAAUAAAAGACAUGGUAUCUAGUAAACAACCCUACCAAUGAAUAAUUAUUAUCAUUAUAAUCACUCAGUUUUAAAUGUAUUUAGAUUUAUUUUUCAAGAAAAAAGUUAUCCAAUUGUAGCAAAUGGCAUCCAAAUACCACUCUACUAGAGAUAUAAUUGGGUAACUUUUUCAAAGUAGAAACAAUCAAAUGACUUUCUGGAAAAAGAUGGAAAGCAAUAAACAUAAUCGAAAGUAUGAUAAGAAAUAAAUGAAAGUAGGUUGUAAUUAUAUUUACCAUCAUGGAUUCAAUGGUAGAAACGGGAGUGGGAAGUCUGAGAUAAUGAACUAAAAUUUUUAAUUAUAAAACAGUUGCAAAAUUAAUCUUGUGUUUGUAGUUGAAUAUGGAGCAUUAGGUUUAGGUUAUUUAUAUCACUACAUAGCUUUGGAGGAGAUUAGUUGUGCUUCAUGAUCAGUUAGAAGAACCUUUGGUGCCCAUUCUAAUCUUUGUAUUGAUCAAUUGGUGAGAAAUGGAAGUGCUGCACAAAAGGAGAAAUAUUCACCCAAGUUAAUUAGUGGGGAUCAUGUUGGAGCUCUUGCAAUGAGUGAAACUAAUGCUGGUUCAGAUGUUGUUGGAAUGAAAUGUAAUGUUGAACGUGUUGACGGUGGUUAUGUUUUAAAUGGGAAUAAGACGUGGUUCACCAAUGGCCCAACUGCUCAAACAUUAGUAAUAUGAUCUUAACUUUUAAAAUAAAAUAUCUUGAAAUUUGAGUAUAUUUUAAAGAUAUUGACUUUGUCAAAAUUAGGUGGUUUAUGUUAAAACAGAUGUAGCUGCUCGUUCAAAAUUAGUCCAGGCAAAGCUCAAGAAAGAAAGCCUGCGAGAGUUGUCUUAAUUUCAGCAGACCGGCCGUCUGCCAAUACAAUUAUCCACGGAUACUCCUUCCCAUUAACCUUAGGUAAUGUAGUUAGGUGAAAGACUUGUUGUCAUCAUUUUUCUGUUUUUAUAAACUCAUCCAUUUUUUAGUGAACUCAUAUGAAAAGCACUUUUAUUAUCUGUCUAGUUGGGUGGGAGGCAUCCGUGUGUAGAAGGACAUUUAUGCUAACAUUGAGUUGUCUCAAAUAAUACUAUGCCAUUUGUUUUUUUCUAAUUUAUGGAAUUAUUAUUUUUGGAGGUCUCCUUGCACCUACAUUGGAGCUGAAAUUGGGAAUAGGAGGGACAUCAUAUGCAGUUUUCAUUUCUAGCAUGCAUCUUCCUAUGCAGUUGAGCUUUGAUGGUGGUUGAAAUAAACAAUGUAAAACAACAGGAGCAUAAAAGAUGUUCUCUUGGUUGUUGGUGACUGCAUGUUAGUUGGCUUACAGGUACUGCUAUCCCCUUGACUGAGGAGGGUGGUAAUUUGCUUCCAAAAAAAUGGGUCUAUUCUCAGCUCUAUAAAGUCCUUUUCAAAUCUUUAGAAAUUUAUGAGGGGGGUGAAAUAGUUCGAGUCACUAUCAGAGUCUAUAUGGAACAGGAUAAAAAGCUGGAGAGGCCAACCCUAUCUGAAGAAGAAGAGAGAAGGGGUGGUCCGGCGGGUAGGGGGGGCUCGUCAGGGGGAGCAAAUCGAUAAGUCCUUCGAAAGAUAGGGCUUCCCGGAGAAUUUGGUGUCUUUCUAUUUGGAAACAAAGGACCAUAAGUCUAAUUAGACACUUCGUCUUUAUUGUUCCACUAGCUAGGAUAAAAUUAUAAGAUGUCCCUUGCAUUAUUACAACCUUCUUUUUUGAUGUCAAAGACCAGAAGCUACGCGAAAAUUUUCAUUGGAUCUCGGUUGUUCUUAACAGCGAUGGCUAUUCAUUUAAGUCUUCGGGUAGCACCACUAGACCUUCAACAAGGUGGAAAUUCUCGUAUUCCUUAUGUACACGUUCCUACGGCUCGGAUGAGUAUUCUUGUUUAUAUCGCUACGGCUAUAAACACGUUCUUGUUCCUAUUAACAAAACAUCCCCUCUUUCUUCGCUCUUUCGGAACCGGUACAGAAAUGGGUGCUUUUUCUACGUUGUUUACCUUAGUUACUGGGGGGUUUCGGGGAAGACCUAUGUGGGGCACCUUUUCGGACAUAUAUCCAAUUAUGCCAAUUUUGGUGUACGUGUCCAAGGUUGAUGGGAAGUUCAAUUUUAGCCCCAUCAGUGUUAAAUUUCUAACAGAAGGUGCAAAAGUUAUCUUUGCACUUGUCAUGCUUCUAAUACAAAAUAUAUGAUGCUAACUUGUUGGCUUGGUUAUUAGGAUAAAAAUCAGAAGAUUGGAGAGAAGCCACUUCUUUCUGUCUCCAGCUUUGUACAGGCAACUCGCAACAAUGUGCUUCUUGUUGUUCCAGCUCGCAACAAAGCAUUCCUCUAUGCUUUUAAUUACACUCUAAAUUCCUUUGCGUUUUUUGUUCGUAUAUUACAAACACCAAUUUCUUUCAAACAACAGAAGAUCUAGAGUUUAAUUGGGUGAUUGAAGGUGAUGGAUGUAAACUUGAUUCUGGAACUCUCAGUCUACCAACAUUAGAGUUUAAUUGGGUGAUUGAAGGUGAUUUUGGUUCUUGAAACGAGACUUAGGAUAUCAUAUUUUGGCAUGGCUAGAAACUUUGGAGGAAACGAGACUCACGCAAAAGUAAACACAGAGAGUUGUUGGCAUAUAGUAAGCUAGAUAAUGCAAUUGUAUAUAAAUGAGUUCAUUUUUUUUAUAACAUUUACUCACUUUUGGAAUAAUUAUUUGUAUUUGACAUAUUAGUGAAAUGAAUUAUCUUUGUUAUUUAUGGUA